UUAAAAAGCUCGUAGUUGGAUUUCUGCGGGGGCGGGGCGGCCGGAUGCUUAUAGCUCUCGAGCUAGCACUUCCCCUGCAUCCUGCCGCGAACCGUGCUACCAUUAGUUUGGUGGCGCCGGGGAUCGGCUCGUUUACUUUGAGAAAAAUAGAGUGUUCAAAGCAGGCCACACGCCUUGAAUAAGUUAGCAUGGAAUAAUGAUAAAGGACUUCGGUUCUAUUUUGUUGGUGUUCGGGACUGAAGUAAUUGAUUGAUAGGGACAGUUGGGGCGGUCCGUUAUUCCCAAAGCGAGAGGCGAAAU
rnacentral:rRNA from 1 species